GACGAAUGCUGGCUGCGUGCUUAACACAUGCAAGUCGAACGGUGAACCAGGGCUUGCCCUGGGGAUCAGUGGCGAACGGGUGAGUAACACGUGGGCAACCUGCCCCUCACUCUGGGAUAACUCCGGGAAACCGGGGCUAAUACCGGAUAUGACCUGGUUCGACAUCACACCAGGUGGAAAGAAUUUCGGUGAGGGAUGGGCCCGCGGCCUAUCAGCUUGUUGGUGGGGUAACGGCCCACCAAGGCGACGACGGGUAGCCGGCCUGAGAGGGCGACCGGCCACACUGGGACUGAGACACGGCCCAGACUCCUACGGGAGGCAGCAGUGGGGAAUAUUGCGCAAUGGGCGAAAGCCUGACGCAGCGACGCAGCGUGAGGGACGACGGCCUUCGGGUUGUAAACCUCUUUCAGCGGGGACGAAGCGAAAGUGACGGUACCCGCAGAAGAAGCACCGGCUAACUACGUGCCAGCCGCCGCGGUAAAAC
rnacentral:rRNA from 1 species